rnacentral:rRNA from 1 species
GAUGAACGCUGGCGGCGUGCCUAAUUCAUGCAAGUCGAGCGAACAGACGAGGAGCUUGCUCCUCUGACGUUAGCGGCGGACGGGUGAGUAGCACGUGGAUAACCUACCUAUAAGACUGGGAUAACUUCGGGAAACCGGAGCUAAUACCGGAUAAUAUAUUGAACCGCAUGGUUCAAUAGUGAAAGACGGUUUUGCUGUCACUUAUAGAUGGAUCCGCGCCGCAUUAGCUAGUUGGUAAGGUAACGGCUUACCAAGGCAACGAUGCGUAGCCGACCUGAGAGGGUGAUCGGCCACACUGGAACUGAGACACGGUCCAGACUCCUACGGGAGGCAGCAGUAGGGAAUCUUCCGCAAUGGGCGAAAGCUUGACGGAGCAACGCCGCGUGAGUGAUGAAGGUCUUCGGAUCGUAAAACUCUGUUAUUAGGGAAGAACAAAUGUGUAAGUAACUAUGCACGUCUUGACGGUACCUAAUCAGAAAGCCACGGCUAACUACGUG